rnacentral:rRNA from 1 species
GGCUGAACCAGCAACUUAGAGGAAUGAAAGGUUAUUUAGUUAAUUAGUUACAUUGUUUGAAUAAAAUAAAUCUUUAUAGAUCUUUUUAUUCAGUUGCUUAAAACAAAAUUUUUUGUUUUAUUCAAAUAGACUUAAAGGUGAGAUCUUUAAGCUUUUUUUAUGCUACAAAUACUUUUAUAUAAGUAUUUGUAAUAUUUAUAAUAUUAUAUAAUAUUAUAAAUACUAAAAAAGCACCCUGGAUAGAAUAACAAUCUAAAAGGGGGAAACAUUUUUAACAGAAUGUUAUUAGUCUAUAUAUUAAUUGCUCAAUAAUAUGGGUAAACAGUGUAUCGUCAAUUUUAUUGAGUAAAAUUCUAGGUAGUGAUAAUAUGAUUAUGACAAAAAACUAUCUAUAAGUCUUGACCAAAAUACAUGCCAGCAGUCGCGGUAAGAUGUAAAAGACUAGUGUUAUUCAUCUUUAAUAGGUUUAAAGGGUACCUAGACGGUUUAUUUAGUCUUUAAUAGGAUACGAAUAAUCUAGAGUUAUAUGUAAGGAGGUGAGUAUUUAUGGAGUAGAGUUGAAAUUCGUUGAUACCAUAACGACUGGUAAAGGCGAAAGCAACCUUUUAUCUAAUAACUGACGUUGAGGAACGAAGGCUUGGGUAGCGAACAGGAUUAGAUACCCUAGUAGUCCUUGCAGAAAAUGAUGAAUGCCAUAGGUUAGAUAAUAAUUUAGUCUAUAAAUGAAAGUGUAAGCAUUUCACCUCAAGAGUAAUGCGGCAACGCAGGAACUGAAAUCAUUAGACCGUUUCUGAAACCAGUAGUGAAGUAUGUUAUUUAAUUCGUAAUUACGCGAAAAACCUUACCACAACUUGAAUAUUAUCAAAUAUGAUAUUACAAGUGUUGCAUGGCUGUCUGCAGUUAAUGUCGUGAGAUUUGGAUAGCUCCUUAAAUUAACGGAAACCCUUACUUUAGUUGAAAAUAACAAUAAA